ACAGAGGCGCGGGCGACAUCAGUAACCGUCAGGCAUCAGCCGGCCAAGGCAAGCCGCGGGGAAAGGGUCGUCCGCCGAAGGCGAUGCACGGCACGCAUCGGCCUGGGUCCGCCGCCGAACAGGCUCGGAACUGUCACGCCCGCAGGCGUGGUGCGCUGUGUG
rnacentral:ncRNA from 1 species